rnacentral:pre_miRNA from 1 species
GUACUACUCCCUCCGUUUCAAAUUACUUGUCGCAGAAAUGGAUGUAUCUAGAUGUAUUUUAGUUUUAGAUACAUUCAUUUCUGUGACGAGUAAUUUGAAACGGAGGGAGUAGUUG